rnacentral:snRNA from 1 species
UCACUUUGGUAGUAUGUAUACUAAAAUUGGAACAAUGAAGAGAUUAGCAUGGCCCUUGUGCAAGGAUGACACACACGUUUGUGAAGUGUUUCAUAUUUUU